CGAGGCGGUCCUCUGGGUGCCUUCCCUGCAGGGUCGCGGUGUACACCCACCGGCGCAUGGCCAUCGCCGCCGAGGACGUGUCCCUGGAAAGGGUCCUGCCCCUGCGAGGAGCGGGCUUCGCCCUGGAAGAAGGUGCGUCGCCGGCGGGAGGAGGCUGCUCUCGGAUCUGCCGCAGCCCCGCCUUGCCAGCCCUUCUCGGGCCGCAGGAUUCACGAACCCCCACCCCACCCCCAGCUUGGGGCUUCCUUCUUGGGGCCUUUUCCUCCGGGCCAGAGGAAAGCCUCUCAUCCCUCGCUUCUCUUUCCUCUCCGACAGUCGUCCUGGAUGGCGACCCGCCCGUUCUCGGCUCGGACAUCACCAUCCAGAUAACCACGCGGGACGCCCGCUUGCUGGUGCGGCUGCCGUUCGGCUCACAGACUCAGACAUUCCUGAAGGAGGUCAGGAAACGCUGCUGCCCAGGUAAGGCGCCUUUGGAACGGCGGUGGUCGCGGCCACGGGGGCAGGAGGGGUCCCUGGGAAGCCGCAGGGCUGCAGGACCUGCACCCACGCGGCCCUGGCCCGAGGGGAAGAUUGAUGCCCACGGUUGAAGGGGCCGAGACCACACUUAGGCAGAUACAGGGCAUGGGAGAGUGAAGUGUUUUGGGUCAGAGGCUGGCAGCUCUUGCCUUCAGACGUCUUUUAUUUUUAAACUAUCUAUCUAGCGGUAAUAUGGGAUGCGGUUUCCUUUGGAAAGUGGUUUUCUGAGCUCAUGGUUGAUCCCCUUGCCUCUUGGCUCUCCCUCCUGGAAGAUGGUCUUGCAGGCAAAGCGGGCCAGGAAGGGAGGAGGCCGCUAACCGCCUUCUUCCCUCUGGUGCUCCCCACGUGCCAGGCAGGAAGCCAGGCACACACACACACACACACACACACACACACACACACACACACACAGAGCCCAGCAGGCCACGUGGCCAGGACGGCCUCUCCUGGCCUCUCUGCUGGGUCUCCGUAAGGACAGAGGCCCCUGCGGGGAGAGUUCAGACCCAGGGAGGUUAAUUCUGACCUAGUUCCUCCUCCUGCUGUAAGGGAGACUCACCAGUGAGAGUUUUUCUUGAGGCCAAGUGGCAGCCUGGCUUUGUCCUUGCUGGCUUCACAGAGGAUUCAUACUCUUUUUGGAGAUGAUUGUUUUUCACAUUUCUGUAAACGUACAACAUUUAAAAGGGCAAUAACCAUAGUUUUCUUGCUUGUUGCUGUUGUUAUGUGCCGUCAAGCCACCUCAUGAAUCUCCUAAAUGUCCUGUUCUCAACUGGCCAGCUCUUGUAAACUCAAGCCUGUGGUUUCUUUAGGCAGUCAUUCCAUCUUGUAUUUGGUCUUCCUCUUUUCCUGCUGCUUUUCCCCUUUCCCAGCAAGAUUGUCUUUUCCAGAGAAUCCUACCUUCUCAUGACAUGCCCAAAGUAGGAGAACCUCAGCUUUAACAUUUUUUUUACUCCAGGCUUGAUUACAUGAAAUUAAGUGAUAAACUUGGGAUUCAAGUAAAAUGUAUUUAUAAACAGAUUGUGAGAUUUCUUAGAUGCAGUUUCCCUUUGGAGGUAUAUCAAAUCACUAAUCACA
rnacentral:lncRNA from 1 species